ensembl:lncRNA
UAAAGCCACAAGAAGAAGAUGAUGCAGGCUGCUGUGAAGCAUGUUUUUUUUUUUUUUCCCUCUCAUAGAUUCUCAUAGAGACUGCAAUGGCUGAAGUUAAAAAAAAAAAAAAAAAAAUCAUAAUUUGUGUUCUACUGAAGAAACAAAGUCACCUACAUCUUGGAUGCCCUGGGGCGGAAAUCUCCUAAUCUCCAGAGUUCCUCCAGCGCUCCUCCAACGAUCUCCUCUUCCAAGUCUUCCUCUCCUACGUCCCUCCCGAGAGCCAUUCUGACCAAGAUCGAAUCAUUAGCCGACUGUGAUGCACGAAACAGCAGGCGAAGGUUCGUUAAAUCCACUCAUCCACUGCGGAGAUGAGGCAAAGAUACCUGAGGGAGAGUUGAGUCGAGUACAGGUACAACGGGCCGGAUCCAGCCAUACAGCGACUCCUCACACCGCCCAGAGCAAACGCGAUCCGAAACCAGCCCACAUCUGCCGAGAUAAGGAUAUGAAUGAGGUACUACAGAGGACGGCAGGUACAAUUUCCAUCUGGUGGAAACGCCGCCUCGGUUCCCACGUCUACGGCACCGCUUUCUUCUGGAAAAGGCACAGGGCAGUCGGCGCAAACUUUCCUGUAUAGAAGACCAACCAAAGGAAGACAGUGUCUUCAUGAAUGCAGUGUCCGGGUGUGAUGAACAUUGUUUGCCCACUGCUUGCUUGCAUUCAGCUUGAUUUAUAAAUCUCAGUGUCUUAGUCUUUGACAUUCUUGCUGUAAGCUGCCAUCGCAAAACAAAGCCACGUACUCCAAAGCUGCUGUUCAACUAAUAUUCUCAUGAGUAAUUGUCAUUGAACUGGCACAAAUAAAAUCUAAUCAGUAAUUUUCCUGAGGUUCCAGCAGAGCCAUUUCAAAGAAAAUGAUACUAUUUUUCUCUUGUCUUAUAUCAUGCUGUGAGAGCAGCAGACAUUUGUUUUCCUCUAAACAAACUGAUUACAUGAAAUACUGGGACAGAAACCAUAAAUGCAGCUGACUAAACAUUACAG